CCCUACGGGGGGCAGCAGUAGGGAAUCUUCCACAAUGGGCGAAAGCCUGAUGGAGCAACGCCGCGUGGGUGAAGAAGGUCUUCGGAUCGUAAAACCCUGUUGUUAGAGAAGAAAGUGCGUGAGAGUAACUGUUCACGUUUCGACGGUAUCUAACCAGAAAGCCACGGCUAACUACGUGCCAGCGGCCGCGGUAAUACGUAGGUGGCAAGCGUUAUCCGGAUUUAUUGGGCGUAAAGAGAACGCAGGCGGUCUUUUAAGGCUGAUGUGAAAGCCUUCGGCUUAACCGGAGUAUUGCAUUUGAAACU
rnacentral:rRNA from 1 species